rnacentral:rRNA from 1 species
UGUACCCCCCAUUGUAACACGUGUGUAGCCCCGGACGUAAGGGCCGUGCUGAUUUGACGUCAUCCCCACCUUCCUCACAUCUUACGACGGCAGUCUCUCUAGAGUCCUCAGCAUAACCUGUUAGUAACUAAAGAUAAGGGUUGCGCUCGUUAUGGCACUUAAGCCGACACCUCACGGCACGAGCUGACGACAACCAUGCAGCACCUUCACAACAGCCUUACGGCUAUACUGUUUCCAAUAUAUUCUGUUGCAAUUUAAGCCCGGGUAAGGUUCCUCGCGUAUCAUCGAAUUAAACCACAUGUUCCUCCGCUUGUGCGGGCCCCCGUCAAUUCCUUUGAGUUUCACCGUUGCCGGCGUACUCCCCAGGUGGAAUACUUAAUGCUUUCGCUUGGCCGCUUACUGUAUAUCGCAAACAGCGAGUAUUCAUCGUUUACUGUGUGGACUACCAGGGUAUCUAAUCCUGUUUGAUACCCACACUUUCGAGCAUCAGUGUCAGUAACAGUCUAGUGAGCUGCCUUCGCAAUCGGAGUUCUUCGUGAUAUCUAAGCAUUUCACCGCUACACCACGAAUUCCGCCCACCUCUACUGUACUCAAGACUGCCAGUUUCAACUGCAAUUUUACGGUUGAGCCGCAAACUUUCACAACUGACUUAACAAUCCACCUACGCUCCCUUUAAACCCAAUAAAUCCGGAUAACGCUCGGAUCCUCCGUAUUACCGCGGCUGCUGGCACGGAGUUAGCCGAUCCUUAUUCAUAUGGUACAUACAAAAUUCCACACGUGGAAAACUUUAUUCCCAUAUAAAAGAAGUUUACGACCCAUAGAGCCUUCAUCCUUCACGCUACUUGGCUGGUUCAGGCUCUCGCCCAUUGACCAAUAUUCCUCACUGCUGCCUCCCGUAGGAGUUUGGACCGUGUCUCAGUUCCAAUGUGGGGGACCUUCCUCUCAGAACCCCUAUCCAUCGUAGUCUUGGUGGGCCGUUACCCCGCCAACAAACUAAUGGAACGCAUCCCCAUCGAUAACCGAAAUUCUUUAAUAAAAAUAUCAUGCGAUAUUCGUAUNCNAUCCGGUAUUAAUCUUUCUUUCGAAAGGCUAUUCCNGAGUUAUCGGCAGGUUGGAUACGUGUUACUCACCCGUGCGCCGG